AUUGAACGCUGGCGGCAGGCCUAACACAUGCAAGUCGAACGGUAACAGGAAGAAGCUUGCUUCUUUGCUGACGAGUGGCGGACGGGUGAGUAAUGUCUGGGAAACUGCCUGAUGGAGGGGGAUAACUACUGGAAACGGUAGCUAAUACCGCAUAACGUCGCAAGACCAAAGAGGGGGACCUUCGGGCCUCUUGCCAUCGGAUGUGCCCAGAUGGGAUUAGCUAGUAGGUGGGGUAACGGCUCACCUAGGCGACGAUCCCUAGCUGGUCUGAGAGGAUGACCAGCCACACUGGAACUGAGACACGGUCCAGACUCCUACGGGAGGCAGCAGUGGGGAAUAUUGCACAAUGGGCGCAAGCCUGAUGCAGCCAUGCCGCGUGUAUGAAGAAGGCCUUCGGGUUGUAAAGUACUUUCAGCGGGGAGGAAGGGAGUAAAGUUAAUACCUUGGCGCAUUGACGUUACCCGCAGAAGAAGCACCGGCUAACUCCGUG
rnacentral:rRNA from 1 species